rnacentral:rRNA from 1 species
AACGAACGCUGGCGGCAUGCCUAACACAUGCAAGUCGAACGAGACCUUCGGGUCUAGUGGCGCACGGGUGCGUAACGCGUGGGAACCUGCCCUUAGGUUCGGAAUAACUCCCCGAAAGGGGUGCUAAUACCGGAUAAUGUCUUCGGACCAAAGAUUUAUCGCCUUUGGAUGGGCCCGCGUUGGAUUAGCUAGUUGGUAGGGUAAAAGCCUACCAAGGCGACGAUCCAUAGCUGGUCUGAGAGGAUGAUCAGCCACACUGGGACUGAGACACGGCCCAGACUCCUACGGGAGGCAGCAGUGGGGAAUAUUGGACAAUGGGCGAAGGCCUGAUCCAGCAAUGCCGCGUGAGUGAUGAAGGCCUUAGGGUUGUAAAGCUCUUUUACCCGGGAUGAUAAUGACAGUACCGGGAGAAUAAGCUCCGGCUAACUACGUG